AGGAAGGAGCCUGAGCCCCUGAUGUAUCCUGGGAGACCCAGCCCCCUGCUCCAUCCCCACCUCCCCACGGACAUGUUGGUGCGGACAAGACGGAAGCCACAGCACAGCCCCGAAUGGGACGACCUGGCCCUGUGGAAAGUGGAGGACUGACCAGCUAUUCACCGGAUGCCAUGAACAUUCAUAGAUUGCGCCGGCCCCACAGUGAGGGAAUUGGUUGGCACCAGGCUGCUGCCCCCUGGCCAUCCACCCCCUCCCUCCCCCCAGCCCGUAACUGUGUUUCCCCUCCUUCCAUACCAUGCCAUUUCCUUUGUGGGUCAAGGGUCAAACACUGCAUCAUGAGUGCCAAACCAGUUCCUUGCAACUCCAGGAGGGGAUAGAGGUAUGUGCAUGUGUGUGUGCCUCAUGUGAGAGCAAGGGCUGGGACCAGAGCAGGGUGAGAGGGGCUGCCCCCUCUUUGGACGGAUAGAGGGUUAUGGAAACAAGGGUCUAGAGUUCUGGACAGGUGCUCUGAGAAUGGACCUCAAGAGUGGGUGUGAAAUCGCUCUGGGGCCCUUAAUUCUAUAGAUAGUGCGACUUCCUCCUGCCCUGGGCCAUUGGGAGUUAUCUGCCCAGCUCUGGCUUCAAGAGUACAGACUCCCUUUCCCACCCGAGGGGAGGUGCCCCUGGGGGAGUGGGGUUUAGGGGCAGGAAGAGUCAAGGGUAUCUGACUACCCUACGUCCUCCAUCCCUCCUGGACAAGCAGAAUGAAGGGGGGAGAAGACAAGCAGCAAAUCCUAGAGUAGGAAGAUGCAAAGUGGUUUCCCCCCAUCCUAUCAACAGAAAUGGCAAGCUCUGGCCCCCUCCUCUCCUCCUCCCUUCUCGGUCCCCUUGGCGACCUGGGCUCUGUAAGCCCAAAUGCAUCUGUAUGGAAUAAAAUGUAUGUGUUCUGUGUCA